rnacentral:tRNA from 1 species
GCCGAGGUGGCGGAAUUGGUAGACGCGCAUGGUUCAGGUCCAUGUGGGGGAGACCCCGUGGAGGUUCAAGUCCUCUCCUCGGCACCA